UACGUAGGGCGCAAGCGUUGUCCGGAAUUAUUGGACGUAAAGAGCUCGUAGGCGGUCUGUUACGUCCGCUGUGAAAACCCAGGGCUUAACCCUGGGCUUGCAGUGGAUACGGGUAGACUAGAGGCAGGUAGGGGAGAAUGGAAUUCCCGGUGUAGCGGUGAAAUGCGCAGAUAUCGGGAGGAACACCGGUGGCGAAGGCGGUUCUCUGGGCCUGACCUGACGCUGAGGAGCGAAAGCGUGGGGAGCGAACAGG
rnacentral:rRNA from 1 species